CCCCCCUCCCCCCCUCCUUUAGCUCGGCCCCCGCGGUAUCUCUAAUGUGAUCCUCUCUCUUUAAAGUAUCGUUCAAAGAAAGCAGAGGGGAAAAAUCAAGAAAAAAAACGAAUAGUUUGCAAAAACUGGACUUCCUCCCCCCCUUUCCUGGUAGGUAUUUUGUCUCUCCCUCUCUCUCUUUCUCGCUCGCUCGCUCUCACUCGCGCUCGCUCUCUCGCGCUCGCUCUCUCGCGCUCUCUUUCUCUCUGGGAGAUGAGUGAGUGUCAGUAGGUGUUGGCAGGUUGGCUGCUGCCUGGCUUAUAGAAGAGCCUCAGUUUGGCGGCGCGGGUCGGCGGCGGGAGAACGAAAUGACGGAACCCGGAAGUCGUGGUGGCCAUAGCCCGUCGUGCGGCGGAGACACAUCCCGGGAGUGGGGAGCGGGAGCGGGAGCGGGAGCGAGGAGGAGCGCGCCGCGCCGAGCCUCUGAUGUGCAGCGAGUGCGAUCGGACGGCCCCGGCCGGGGGGCGGGGGGAGGGGAGGCAGGAGCCCGGCGGACCCGAGCAAAUCAGCGAGCCUGCUCCUCCGCGGGGACGGCCGGGGGGGGGGGGGGGCGGGGGAGCCGGAGGGAGAGGAGCGCGCGCGCGCGCGUGUGUGUGUGUGUGUGCGCGCGCGUGAACGGGAGCGCGCGCAUGCGGGCGUGCGCGCGCGAGCCAGGAAAGAGGGAGAGAAUGAAGAGGCCAGGGAGAGCGCAGAGAGGAAAACUGCAGAAAACCACAGGGAAAAAGGACUCCAAGAUUAAAAGCAUCCUCCUUAUUUGUUGCUGAGUUGUUCGUCGACAUGUAAGAAAAGGAUUCCCUCCAAGUCUGAUAGGAAAGACAGGGCCACUUCUGGAUGAGCUGUAAGGAUGUAUUUUCAUUUCCAUCACAUUGAAGCACUUUUUAUAAACCUUGUGUUAUAUUUAAAUAAAUAUACAGGGACAUCAAGAGAAGCCACUCCUACAAAGAUAGCUUGGCUUUGUGCCGUCAAUCUCAGCCUUAGGGGGGAAAAAUCCAGAAUCCACCUGAGAAGCUUUUCCAUACCCAUCUUUUCCUCAAAACAAACAGAUAAGAAGCGAAAGAAAGUUUGCUGUGUGCAUCUGUGUCUUCAUGUGCACGUUUAUAAACAUGCCCCAGUCCGUGUCUGCGUGUUACCCCCCUCCUGCCACGCACUCGGAGGCAGAGGCUUCGAGGGAUCGCCCCCGGAGAGCUGUGUUUACUUAGGCUUUUUUAAUCUCUCCGCCUUGUAUGACAAGUGUUACUUCCAGAAAUUCAUCAACCUUCUACAGAUACUUCCAGUCUUGCUGUAAUGGUUUGCAGAGGAGAGCUGCCACCGCUCUCCCACGUCCCAAGGUGUGGCAGGGACUCCGGGCGAGCGGGGGGCGGCGGGAGGGCUGAAUUGCCGUGGGGGAGGGAGGGGCGCGGGCGCCGACGCAGCGGGGAGGGAGGGGGCUCACCUGGCCGGUACCUGCCCACAGCUCCCAAUCUCCGGGGCGAAAAUUCGGAAAAGGUACUGCCGCCUUUUGUUCCUUUUCUUUUUCUAAAUGCCUUUGGGGGAAGCGAUACCCUUGUGUAACAAUUAGCUCAGACAAUAAAAAUAAUUGGAAAAUCAGUUGGAAUUUCUGAGUUUUUAAUGACGUUUAAUUUUGUGCUAAGCCGUAAAAUUACGGAUGCCCCUCAAUUAAACACUCUCUUCUUGUAAAGCGUGUAACAAUGAUUCCUUAAUCAGUCUGAAUGUGAGUCACAGAUGAUGCUUUUCCGCAUCAAAGGGACGUCCUUCGACGUUACCUUUUAGUCCUAAGUAAGAGGAUUAAUUCCUAUCAUUAGAGGGACCAACACGUGCAUAAGUACGUGUCUCUCUCUCUCGACACGCACACGCACUCGCACACGCACACUUUCACUCUGUGAGACGCGGGCGGGCGGGCGGGUCAGGGUUUUGACGGCGGGUCCCGGCCCGACAGCCCUCCUGGCCGGCGGCGGGCGGCGCAGCUCGCACCUCGCACCUCGGGGCCGCACGCACACGCCUAGCAGAAGCGCCCGCGGGUCCCGCGGCA
rnacentral:lncRNA from 1 species